AAGCAUUUAUUCUGAAAUUGGAAUGUUGCAUGUAUCUUGAAUUUCUAUGUUUGGAUUGCCUUUUUUAUUGGUGGAUGAAAACUGUCCAACUGUACUUCCACAGACUACGUCCUAGAGAACACAGGAUAUGAUGAUGUGGGAGACAGUGUUGAGGGACUCCUCUCAGAGUCUGUGAGAGAGGAGGGGCUGGAGUAUUAUGAUGACAUCAUCACUGAUCAGAUCGACCCUAAAAUGACCAAGGCAAUGGAGGAGACAAAGCCUGCCAAUGAAGAAGAAGUGGAGUAUUAUGAUGACAUCACAAAUGAGGAGAAUGACCUUAAAAUGACAACAGGGAUUGAUUAUGAUGAUGUGGGGGUGGAGUCUGAGGAGUGACACUGGACAUGAAGAGGGGAGCAUAGGCCAUCGAAAGCAGAUUUCCAACAGAUUUGGUAUCCACUUGUUCUCGAUGUGACAGUAAUCUAGUAGAAUCCACUGAGCGAGGGAUUGGCCCACCCAGCUUCAGAUUAAAGCACCUGGUAUUCCCAGUUACUGUAUGUCCCAUCCAAGUACUAACCAGAACCAGCACUGCUUAGCUUCUGAGAUAGUACGAGAUUGGGCGUGCUCAGUGUGGUAUUUAGUGCUUUCUAAUGUCAUGUAUUUGAUAGUGUUUUUAAUGCCACAUAUAUUUCAGAGUGCUUUUUAAUGCCAUAUGCAUUUGAUAGGGCUUUUUAAUGCCAUAUAUGUUUUAUAGUGUUUUUAAUGCCACAUAUAUUUCAGUUUGCUUUUUAAUGCCAUAUGCAUUUGAUAGGGCUUUUUAAUGCCAUAUAUAUUUGAUAGUGUGUUUACUGCCACAUAUAUUUC